GGGGUGCUCGAGUGGCGAACGGGUGAGUAACACGUGAGUAACCUGCCCUUGACUUUGGGAUAACUUCAGGAAACUGGGGCUAAUACCGGAUAGGAGCUCCUGCUGCAUGGUGGGGGUUGGAAAGUUUCGGCGGUUGGGGAUGGACUCGCGGCUUAUCAGCUUGUUGGUGGGGUAGUGGCUUACCAAGGCUUUGGCGGGUAGCCGGCCUGAGAGGGUGACCGGCCACAUUGGGACUGAGAUACGGCCCAG
rnacentral:rRNA from 1 species